GACGAACGCUGGCGGCGUGCUUAACACAUGCAAGUCGAACGGAAAGGCCCUGCUUUUGUGGGGUGCUCGAGUGGCGAACGGGUGAGUAACACGUGAGUAACCUGCCCUUGACUUUGGGAUAACUUCAGGAAACUGGGGCUAAUACCGGAUAGGAGCUCCUGCUGCAUGGUGGGGGUUGGAAAGUUUCGGCGGUUGGGGAUGGACUCGCGGCUUAUCAGCUUGAUGGGCGGGUAGUUGCUUACCAAGGCUGCGACGGGUAGCCCGCCUGAGAGGGUGAACGGCCACCAUGCGACUGCGAGACGGCGCAGUCGGCUACCGGAGGCAGCAGGGGGGAAUAUUGCAGAACGGGCGGAAGUCAGAUGCAGCAAUGCCGCGUGCGUGAUGACGGGCUUCUGGGUGUAAACCGCUUUCGCCGGUGAUGAAGAGAGAGUGACGGUAAUGGGUAAAGAAGCACCGGCUAACUACGUG
rnacentral:rRNA from 1 species